CUCCGUAGGUGAACCUGCGGAAGGAUCAUUAUU
rnacentral:rRNA from 1 species